GGGUUGUGAGGUUAAGCGACUAAGCGUACACGGUGGAUGCCCUGGCAGUCAGAGGCGAUGAAGGACGUGCUAAUCUGCGAUAAGCGUCGGUAAGGUGAUAUGAACCGUUAUAACCGGCGAUUUCCGAAUGGGGAAACCCAGUGUGUUUCGACACACUAUCAUUAACUGAAUCCAUAGGUUAAUGAGGCGAACCGGGGGAACUGAAACAUCUAAGUACCCCGAGGAAAAGAAAUCAACCGAGAUUCCCCCAGUAGCGGCGAGCGAACGGGGAGCAGCCCAGAGCCUGAAUCAGUGUGUGUGUUAGUGGAAGCGUCUGGAAAGGCGCGCGAUACAGGGUGACAGCCCCGUACACAAAAAUGCACAUGCUGUGAGCUCGAUGAGUAGGGCGGGACACGUGGUAUCCUGUCUGAAUAUGGGGGGACCAUCCUCCAAGGCUAAAUACUCCUGACUGACCGAUAGUGAACCAGUACCGUGAGGGAAAGGCGAAAAGAACCCCGGCGAGGGGAGUGAAAAAGAACCUGAAACCGUGUACGUACAAGCAGUGGGAGCACGCUUAGGCGUGUGACUGCGUACCUUUUGUAUAAUGGGUCAGCGACUUAUAUUCUGUAGCAAGGUUAACCGAAUAGGGGAGCCGAAGGGAAACCGAGUCUUAACUGGGCGUUAAGUUGCAGGGUAUAGACCCGAAACCCGGUGAUCUAGCCAUGGGCAGGUUGAAGGUUGGGUAACACUAACUGGAGGACCGAACCGACUAAUGUUGAAAAAUUAGCGGAUGACUUGUGGCUGGGGGUGAAAGGCCAAUCAAACCGGGAGAUAGCUGGUUCUCCCCGAAAGCUAUUUAGGUAGCGCCUCGUGAAUUCAUCUCCGGGGGUAGAGCACUGUUUCGGCAAGGGGGUCAUCCCGACUUACCAACCCGAUGCAAACUGCGAAUACCGGAGAAUGUUAUCACGGGAGACACACGGCGGGUGCUAACGUCCGUCGUGAAGAGGGAAACAACCCAGACCGCCAGCUAAGGUCCCAAAGUCAUGGUUAAGUGGGAAACGAUGUGGGAAGGCCCAGACAGCCAGGAUGUUGGCUUAGAAGCAGCCAUCAUUUAAAGAAAGCGUAAUAGCUCACUGGUCGAGUCGGCCUGCGCGGAAGAUGUAACGGGGCUAAACCAUGCACCGAAGCUGCGGCAGCGACGCUGAUGCGUUGUUGGGUAGGGGAGCGUUCUGUAAGCCUGCGAAGGUGUGCUGUGAGGCAUGCUGGAGGUAUCAGAAGUGCGAAUGCUGACAUAAGUAACGAUAAAGCGGGUGAAAAGCCCGCUCGCCGGAAGACCAAGGGUUCCUGUCCAACGUUAAUCGGGGCAGGGUGAGUCGACCCCUAAGGCGAGGCCGAAAGGCGUAGUCGAUGGGAAACAGGUUAAUAUUCCUGUACUUGGUGUUACUGCGAAGGGGGGACGGAGAAGGCUAUGUUGGCCGGGCGACGGUUGUCCCGGUUUAAGCGUGUAGGCUGGUUUUCCAGGCAAAUCCGGAAAAUCAAGGCUGAGGCGUGAUGACGAGGCACUACGGUGCUGAAGCAACAAAUGCCCUGCUUCCAGGAAAAGCCUCUAAGCAUCAGGUAACAUCAAAUCGUACCCCAAACCGACACAGGUGGUCAGGUAGAGAAUACCAAGGCGCUUGAGAGAACUCGGGUGAAGGAACUAGGCAAAAUGGUGCCGUAACUUCGGGAGAAGGCACGCUGAUAUGUAGGUGAAGUCCCUUGCGGAUGGAGCUGAAAUCAGUCGAAGAUACCAGCUGGCUGCAACUGUUUAUUAAAAACACAGCACUGUGCAAACACGAAAGUGGACGUAUACGGUGUGACGCCUGCCCGGUGCCGGAAGGUUAAUUGAUGGGGUCAGCGCAAGCGAAGCUCUUGAUCGAAGCCCCGGUAAACGGCGGCCGUAACUAUAACGGUCCUAAGGUAGCGAAAUUCCUUGUCGGGUAAGUUCCGACCUGCACGAAUGGCGUAAUGAUGGCCAGGCUGUCUCCACCCGAGACUCAGUGAAAUUGAACUCGCUGUGAAGAUGCAGUGUACCCGCGGCAAGACGGAAAGACCCCGUGAACCUUUACUAUAGCUUGACACUGAACAUUGAGCCUUGAUGUGUAGGAUAGGUGGGAGGCUU
rnacentral:rRNA from 1 species